rnacentral:misc_RNA from 1 species
GAUGAAGAACGUAGCGAAAUGCGAUAAGUAGUGUGAAUUGCAGAAUUCAGUGAAUCAUCGAAUCUUUGAACGCACAUUGCGCCCCUUGGUAUUCCAUGGGGCAUGCCUGUUCGAGCGUCAUUUGUACCUUCAAGCUUUGCUUGGUGUUGGGUGUUUGUCUCGCCUUUGCGUGUAGACUCGCCUUAAAAUAAUUGGCAGCCGGCGUAUUGAUUUCGGAGCGCAGUACAUCUCGCGCUUUGCACUCAUAACGACAGCGUCCAAAAGUACAUUUUACACUCUUGACCUCGGAUCAGGUAGGGAUACCCGCUGACCUUAAGCAUAUCAAUAAGCGGAGGA